rnacentral:rRNA from 1 species
GAGCUCCUCGCUAUGCGCCGCCCUGGAGGGCUCGCGCUCGCCAGCCGGUCGUCUUUGCACUCGUAGGCGACCUCGUCGUCCCCUCUGCACUGCCCUCCACCUCAACUAAUGAUUUAGCUGGUUAUAUCUUGUGGAUGUUCUCUAUUGUUUUUUGCACACAAGGUGUUUGUGUGUUUGUCAGAGCCAAUGUUCAUGAGCUUUAUCUUUGCUAUAAAUGGCAUGGCUGAGAAAGUCCCUUCAAUGAAAGGAGGAGUAUAGUCUUGGCCAUGGCUGGGAAGGAAGGAGAACAUGUAAAUUGAGGAUUUUUCAGAGAGAUCGGGACUGCUUGAUUUAUCAGUGGACUAGUGUGCUGGUUGAUUAGGAUCUUUCAGAGAGAUCAGGGUUGCUUGAUUAAUCAGAGAGAAACUGGAACAGUACUUGGGAGUUGGGACUGGUGUGCUACGGUUGCUUGAUUAAUAAGAGAGAAACUUAUCAUAAUUUAUGAUUUCCUUUUCUUGAUUUGGAGCAAGUGUCUUUGCUGGAGUCAGCGUCCUUGUGGUUGAUCUCAUAUACAUGAGGAUUAUCUGAGUCAGCUGCUUGUGGUUGACCUCAUAUACAUGAGGAUUAUCCGAUCAUUAAAGCACAUACAUUGGAGUUGAAAUAUAGGCGGGUCGUGUACACGGGGUACAUGUACGUGAUGUAAACAAAACCUAUAUAACUCAGGGAAUCGGUACUACAAGAGAGCUUCAAGCUGACGGCCAAUAGGAAUGGAAGACAUGACUUGAUGGAGAAAUCAGGGAACAUACAUUCUGCUCUCUUGUUCUUCGGCUUGGGGUGUCGGCAGCUACCUAUUACUACUAGGGAGUCUUAUUUUGGACGGAAAGAAAAUACAAUAUUGGUUUUUAUCCAUUUGUAUGCCUGCGUUAGCCUUAUGAAGCACAAAGGAUGUCCCAGUGAUCAAUCACGGAUGAUACUUGGUGUAUUCUUACUAGGC